rnacentral:rRNA from 1 species
AGUCAAUAGAUACCCUGGUAGUCCACGCCGUAAACGAUGAGUACUAGGUGUAGGAGGUAUCGACUCCUUCUGUGCCGCAGUUAACACAAUAAGUACUCCGCCUGGGAAGUACGGUCGCAAGAUUAAAACUCAAAGGAAUUGACGGGGGCCCGGCACAAGCAGCGGAGCAUGUGGUUUAAGUUUACGAAGACAACGCGAAGAACCUUACCUAGACUUGUACAUCUCCUGAAUAAGUGUAGAGAUACAUGAAGCCCUUCGGGUCGAGGAAGACAGGUGGUGCAUGGUUGUCGUCAGCUCGUGUCGUGAGAUGUUGGGUUAAGUUCCCGCAACGAGCGCAACCCUUAUUACCUAGUUGCUACCACUUAAGUUAGUA